rnacentral:rRNA from 1 species
UGGCUUGGAAGCAGCCAUUCAUUUAAAGAGUGCGUAACAGCUCACUGGUCGAGAGAUCCUGCACGGAAAAUAAUCGGGCAUCAAACUAUGAACCGAAGUUCUAGAUUCAAUAUUUAUUUAUUGAGUGGUAGGGGAGCAUUGAAAUCUGCAUCGAAGGUGUGGCGCGAGCCAUGCUGGAGCGAUUUCAAAAGAAAAUGUAGGUAUAAGUAACGAUAAAAGUAGUGAAAAACUACUUCGCCGAAAGUCUAAGGUUUCCUGAUCAACGUUAAUCGGAUCAGGGUUAGUCUGGUCCUUAGGAAAACCCGAAAGGGGCAUCUGAUGGAAAGCUAGUUAAUAUUCUAGCACCUACUAUGCAUUAAAAGUGACGCAGGGACGUGGUUGUUACGAACAGACGGAUGUUCGUUGAGUGGAACCUUCGGGGGAAGCGAAACAAUAAAAUCCCUGCCAAGAAAAGCGAGCAUAGCAGCCAGUACCGGAAUCCGACACAGGUAGACGGGAUGAGUAUUCUAAGGCGCUCGGGUGAGCCGCGGAGAAGGAACUAGGCAAAUUAAUGCUGUAACUUCGGGAUAAAGCAUACCGCAGUGAUGCGGUCACAGUAAAUAGGUACAACCAACUGUUUAACAAAAACACAGGGCCCUGCAAAAACGUAAGUUGACGUAUAGAGCCUGAAACCUGCCCGGUGCUGGAAGGUUAAGGAAGGGUGUUCGUCGCAAGACAAAGCUCCUGACUGAAGCCCCAGUAAACGGCGGCCGUAACUAUAACGGUCCUAAGGUAGCGAAAUUCCUUGUCGGGUAAGUUCCGACCUGCACGAAUGGUCUAAUGAGUUGUACACUGUCUCCUCCGCGAGCCCGGUGAAAUUGUAGUAUCGGUGAAGAUGCCGGUUACCCGCCACGGGACGGAAAGACCCCGUGAACCUUCACUACAACUUUGCAUUGAUUUUGAAUUACGGAUGUGUAGGAUAGUUGGGACGCUAUGAAGCCUUGCCGCCAGGUAGGGUGGAGCGGUCGUUGAAAUACCAACCUUCUUUGAUUUAGGAUCUAAUCCCUAACGGGAGACAGUGCAUGGUGGGUAGUUUGACUGGGGUGGUCGCCUCCUAAAAAGUAACGGAGGCUCGCAAAGGUACCCUCAGUACGGUUGGUAAUCGUACGUAGAGCGCAUUAGUAAAAGGGUGCUUGACUGUGAGACAAACAAGUCGAGCAGGAGCGAAAGCUGGCUAAAGUGAUCCGGUGUUUCUGCAUGGAAGGGACAUCGCUCAAAGGAUAAAAGGUACUCCGGGGAUAACAGGCUGAUCUUACCCAAGAGCUCAUAUCGACGGUAAGGUUUGGCACCUCGAUGUCGGUUCGUCACAUCCUGGGGCUGGAGAAGGUCCCAA